rnacentral:rRNA from 1 species
GAUGAACGCUAGCUACAGGCUUAACACAUGCAAGUCGAGGGGCAGCGGGAUUGAAGCUUGCUUCAAUUGCCGGCGACCGGCGCACAGGUGAGUAACGCGUAUCCAACCUUCCGUACACUCAGGGAUAGCCUUUCGAAAGAAAGAUUAAUACCUGAUGGUAUCUUAAGCACACAUGUAAUUAAGAUUAAAGAUUUAUCGGUGUACGAUGGGGAUGCGUUCCAUUAGGUAGUAGGCGGGGUAACGGCCCACCUAGCCAACGAUGGAUAGGGGUUCUGAGAGGAAGGUCCCCCACAUUGGAACUGAGACACGG